UACGUAGGUGGCAAGCGUUGUCCGGAUUUAUUGGGUUUAAAGGGUGCGUAGGCGGUCAAAUAAGUCAGUUGUGAAAUACGGCAGCUCAACUGUCGAGGUGCAAUUGAUACUGUUUGACUUGAGUAUUGUUGAGGUAGGCGGAAUGGACGGUGUAGCGGUGAAAUGCUUAGAGAUCGAUCCAGAACACCGAUAGCGAAGGCAGCUUACUAAAGAAUAACUGACGCUGAGGCACGAAAGUGUGGGGAUCAAACAGG
rnacentral:rRNA from 1 species